CAAUACUAAUGGAUGAGAUACCACGCAAGAAGCAAAAACCUGAGAAUCCUAAUAACUCAGUGUCUGCUAAGAAUGUAACAAUAUUUUUUGUCUGCUAACACAUCUAGCUAUGACCAAGAAACGGCCUCGCUGUUACUUCUCUUACAUCUCCUUCCACCGCAACCAGGAGGACAGAAGUCUCCAAAAAUCAGUGCAAGUGAUGCAGUUGAGAGACUUGUUGUCUUUCAUAAGUCAUGCUGCAGUUUAGAGGAGCAUCUCCGGGGUCAACAGGGUCUGCAGCCAUACCUCCUUGCUGUUGGGCGUCAGAGAAGCAAGAUUGACAGCUUCUACAUCGUCAUGGAUAAGUGCCUCAUCCCAUGCCAGACAAACGGUUCUCUUGGAGCAUUUGAUGAGCUAUUCAAAGCACAUUUUGUGAACAUUGUCUUUUCUCCUAUUCUCCCUAUGGGUAUGACGAUAUAUUUGAAGCAUUUGAUUGUUGAACACCAUAAACUCUUUAAGUUCUUAUAUUCACAUCAAAAUUUGAUACCUAAGCAUCAUUUUAUGAUCCACUAUCCAUCUUCCAUUAGGAAAAUAGGUCCAUUGUUA